AGCAGCCGCGGUAAUUCCAGCUCCAAUAGCGUAUAUUAAAGUUGUUGCAGUUAAAAAGCUCGUAGUUGAACUUCGGGGUUUACCCAUUGGUCAGGCUUAAUUGUCUGUACUGGUGAGAUAAAUCUCUACCUUCUGAGGAACUUUCAUGCCAUUUAUUUGGUGUGAUUGGAAAUCAGGACUAUUACUUUGAAAAAAUUAGAGUGUUUAAAGCAGGCUAACGUCUGAAUAUAUUAGCAUGGAAUAAUGAAAUAGGACGGCUUGGUUCUAUUUCGUUGGUUUCUAGGAUCACCGUAAUGAUUAAUAGGGAUAGUUGGGGGCAUUAGUAUUCAAUUGUCAGAGGUGAAAUUCUUGGAUUUAUUGAAGACUAACUACUGCGAAAGCAUUUGCCAAGGAUGUUUUCAUUAAUCAAGAACGAAAGUUAGGGGAUCGAAGACGAU
rnacentral:rRNA from 1 species